rnacentral:rRNA from 1 species
ACGUAGGGUGCGAGCGUUAAUCGGAAUUACUGGGCGUAAAGCGUGCGCAGGCGGUUCGCUAAGACAGGUGUGAAAUCCCCGGGCUUAACCUGGGAAUGGCGCUUGUGACUGGCGGGCUGGAGUACGGCAGAGGGAAGUGGAAUUCCACGUGUAGCGGUGAAAUGCGUAGAGAUGUGGAGGAACACCAAUGGCGAAGGCAGCUUUCUGGGCUGAUACUGACGCUCAUGCACGAAAGCGUGGGGAGCAAACAG